UGUUGCAAACGCCGGUCGCGUAGGUUGUUGCUAGUGUGAAACGUUGAGCGCAGCGCCCACCCACACACACAUACACAUAUGUACGUAGUCGAGUGCGCGGAGCAGUCAGUUGUUGCCGCCAAUUGAAUGGACAGUCGCGGUUAACGAAACACGAAAAGUCGACUCGCCUCGCGUCGCGUGGAGUUCACUUGAGUUGAGUGGCGGCGAGUGUGUGUGUUUGCUUUUUUUUCGAACGCGCGAAACACGCGGCUGUUGCGGCGGUCCCGAGUGCAUUACUCACUCUUUUUUUUUUCGGUUACUUGCAAGUGAUACCCCUUAAACGACCCCUUCCCCCCACACUUCAAUCCCCCUCGCUGGCAGCAAACGCCAAAGGUGAUUAUAUUCGGAAAAGCAACGCAGUGGAGUAAAUAACGGAGCGGAGAGCGGAUCAACACAAAGCGAGACUACCUUUGGGGUCAUAGUUCAUGUUUCCCAUAUACACUUUGUAAACGCCGAUGAAGUUUAAGAUUUGCAGAUGAUUGGAGUCAAAUAAUUAUAAAGGUGAGAAUGCAUCUCAAACAUAAUCGGGAUAUUCACGACGAAAGCGUAUUUAUAUAUUAAAUAACAAAGCAUUGG